AACGAACGCUGGCGGCAGGCCUAACACAUGCAAGUCGAACGCACCUUCGGGUGAGUGGCAGACGGGUGAGUAACGCGUGGGAACCUUCCCUUCGGUACGGAAUAGCUCCGGGAAACUGGAAUUAAUACCGUAUACGUCCUCCGGGAGAAAGAUUUAUCGCCGAAGGAUGGGCCCGCGUCGGAUUAGCUAGUUGGUAGGGUAACGGCCUACCAAGGCUACGAUCCGUAGCUGGUCUUAGAGGAUGAUCAGCCACACUGGGACUGAGACACGGCCCAGACUCCUACGGGAGGCAGCAGUGGGGAAUAUUGGACAAUGGGCGAAAGCCUGAUCCAGCCAUGCCGCGUGAGUGACGAAGGCCUUAGGGUUGUAAAACUCUUUUGGUAGGGACGAUAAUGACGGUACCUACAGAAUAAGCCCCGGCUAACUUCG
rnacentral:rRNA from 1 species